CACAAGCGGUGGAGCAUGUGGUUUAAUUCGAAGCAACGCGAAGAACCUUACCAGGUCUUGACAUCCCUGACAACCCAAGAGAUUGGGCGUUCCCCUUCGGGGGACAGGGUGACAGGUGGUGCAUGGUUGUCGUCAGCUCGUGUCGUGAGAUGUUGGGUCAAGUCCCGCAACGAGCGCAACCCUCGCCUCUAGUUGCCAGCAUUCGGUUGGGCACUCUAGAGGGACUGCCGGCGACAAGUCGGAGGAAGGUGGGGAUGACGUCAAAUCAUCAUGCCCCUUAUGACCUGGGCUACACACGUGCUACAAUGGUCGGUACAAAGGGUUGCGAUCCCGCGAGGGUGAGCCAAUCCCAAAAAGCCGGCCCCAGUACAGAUAGGAGUCUGCAACUCGACUCCUUGAAGGCGGAAUCGCUAGUAAUCGCUGAUCAGCUGGCAGCGGUGGAUACGUUCCCGGGCCUU
rnacentral:rRNA from 1 species